rnacentral:rRNA from 1 species
GUGGGGAAUUUUGGACAAUGGGGGCAACCCUGAUCCAGCCAUUCCGCGUGAGUGAAGAAGGCCUUCGGGUUGUAAAGCUCUUUUGUCCGGAGCGAAAAGGUUACGGUGAAUAUCCGUGACUACUGACGGUACCGGAAGAAUAAGCACCGGCUAACUACGUGCCAGCAGCCGCGGUAAUACGUAGGGUGCGAGCGUUAAUCGGAAUUACUGGGCGUAAAGCGUGCGCAGGCGGUUUUGUAAGCCAGAUGUGAAAGCCCCGGGCUUAACCUGGGAAUGGCAUUUGGGACUGCAAGGCUGGAGUGUGGCAGAGGAGACUGGAAUUCCUGGUGUAGCAGUGAAAUGCGUAGAUAUCAGGAGGAAUACCGAUGGCGAAGGCAGGUCUCUGGGCUGACACUGACGCUCAUGCACGAAAGCGUGGGGAGCAAACAGGAUUAGAAACCCUAGUAGUCC